AUUGAACGCUGGCGGCAGGCCUAACACAUGCAAGUCGAGCGAGCGGCGGACGGGUUAGUAAUGUCUGGGAAACUGCCUGAUGGAGGGGGAUAACUACUGGAAACGGUAGCUAAUACCGCAUACCAUCAGAUGUGCCCAGAUGGGAUUAGCUAGUAGGUGGGGUAAGGGCUCACCUAGGCGACGAUCCCUAGCUGGUCUGAGAGGAUGACCAGCCACACUGGAACUGAGAAAAGGUCCAGAAUCCGACGGGAGGCAGGAGUGGGGAAGAUUGCACAAUGGGCGCAAGCCUGAUGCAGCCAUGCCGAGUGUGUGAAGAAGGCCUUCGGGUUGUAAAGCACUUUCAGCGAGGAGGCGUUACUCGCAGAGGAAGCACCGGCUAACGCCGUGCCAGCAGCCGCGGUAAUAC
rnacentral:rRNA from 1 species